rfam:Pteropus alecto contig32460, whole genome shotgun sequence.
UUUUCAGUAUAAGUAUGUCCCAUGCAAUAUUUAGGACAUACUUAUGCUAAAA